AACCCAAAAUUCCAGUCUAAUCACGAGAAAAACAUCAGGCAAAUACCAGUUGAGGGACACUCUACAAAAUACCUGGCCAGUACUCCUGAGAAUUUUCAAGGUCAUCAAUUAGAAAGAAAGUCUGAGGAACUAUCAUGGCCAAGAG